rnacentral:rRNA from 1 species
GAAUAUUGGACAAUGGGCGAAAGCCUGAUCCAGCCAUGCCGCGUGUGUGACGAAGGUCUUCGGAUUGUAAAGCACUAUAAGGUGGGAGGAAGGGAAGUAAGCGAAUACCUUGAUGUUACUACGUUAACGACAGCAUAAGCACCUGCGACCUCUUUUACAGCAGCCGCGGUAAUACAGAGGGUGCAAGCGUUAAUCGGAAUUACUGGGCGUAAAGCGCGCGUAGGUGGUUCGUUAAGCUGGAUGUGAAAUCCCCGGGCUCAACCUGGGAACUGCAUCCAAAACUGGCGAGCUAGAGUAGGGCAGAGGGUGGUGGAAUUUCCUGUGUAGCGGUGAAAUGCGUAGAUAUAGGAAGGAACACCAGUGGCGAAGGCGACCACCUGGGCUCAUACUGACACUGAGGUGCGAAAGCGUGGGGAGCAAACAG